AGGUGGAAAUGAUCUCAAGUGCAGAUCAAUCUAGUGUCGUCUUAGAGAAGAAGAAACAUAGGUCUUGGAAAUUUGAGACUUCUCAACAUCUCUAACUCUGUGACAGGCAGAGGAAAGGCUGUGUGUGGAGAUUCAGAUCACUGUGCCGAGAACAGAGAUUAAUGGCAGGCCAUUUUAAUUUAGCUCUCUCAACAACUUUCAAGAGAUAAAGGGCUGCGAAAAGAUACAACUGGCUGCUCCAGCCAUUGCUUGCAAAGUUGUCCUGAGCAGAUAACUGAAGAGCAACCUUUUUCUGCGCUGGUAUCUGUUCGGCUGUCUCUCCUCUCUGACUAAUUCUAUCCCAGCAUGGAGGCCAGCAUCAUCAGUGACUUUGGAUACAUCUAGCAAACUGCAGCCAUCAAAGGACAUGAUGGAUGGCGGAAUGCUCAGAAUUGGCAUACGAGCACUGCACAUGCUCAGCUCUCAGCGGCUCCUUCUCUCAUGUCUGUCAUUUCCCAGGUACAUCACAUGGCAUCGAUGCCACAGGAGAUGCUUCCAUGUUUAUACAAAAACCAGUACAUGAGCCUGCAGAUUCCUCUGAUUUGAUCUCCAAAUGCAUGUGAAUACCUGCAGCAGGCCAGGCUGAGCCUGGGUGGCAAUUAGCUCUUGUGAGACCUGCCUGAAGAUGUGGACACGGUACUUGCAUGUCAGGAGAUGUCAGUUUGUGGCGCUGCAUCCCUCUGCUUUGAGUGGAACUGUGUCCCUCUGGCUUGCUUCAUGCAUCUGCUUAUGAGCAAGGGCUUCAUUUCCAAAAGAAGAGGAAGAGGACCUACCUGGUUAUUUAGGCUUUUCUUUAUUUAAGAUGAAAAGUACUGUUCAUAGAUGAAAUACAUAUUUGCAUAUGCUCAUAAAAUAUUUACAUGGAAAUAUACAAAAUGCAGUCAUUUAUGAUCCCUUAAUUAGUCUUUGAAUGGAAUAAAAAACUAAUGGAAAUAGAAUUUGUUAAUUCAUUAGUGUUGGGCCAUAACUCUGGCACCGUUUUUCAGUAAUUAAUAGGACCUGAAAAGAACAUUGUUUGGUUACAUUGCAUUUUCCCCUUUAACUCUUUAUUUGGUGUGAUCUUAGCACAUUUUAAUCAGUGAAAAGUAUCAGUAGCCAGUGACCUUUACUCACAGUCAUUUUAUUAAAGCGUUGCCUCAGGCCACAUCAUGAAUCUAUACUGCAUCCCACAACACUGCAUCCCACAACACAGCAUCCCACUACACUGCAUCCCACUACACUAUAUCCCACAACACAGCAUCCCACUACACUGCAUCCCACAACACAGCAUCCCACUACACUGCAUCCCACUACACUGCAUCCCACAACACAGCAUCCCACUACACUGCAUCCCACAAUACUGCAUACUACACUACAUCCCACAACACUGCAUCCCACAACACUGCAUCCCACUAUAUUGCAUCCAUCUUACUACACUGCAUCCCACUAUAAACUGUAUUCUACUACACUGCAUCCCGCAACACUGCAUUUAAACAAGCAAGUCUGUUUGUUGGCAAUAAGCAAUAAUUGGUGAGUGGUUCACAAGCCCCUGUAACUCUAGCGCCUGAGGAUCUGAUGCCUUCUUAUGGCCUCUGUGGGCACUUCAUGCAUAUGGUACACAGACAUACAUGCAAACAAGAUGCACUCAUACACAUAAAAUAAAAAUAAACUCAAAGUCUUUAUUCUAAGAUGAGUCUGACAUGUGGGAAGCUGCUUGCUGAAAAAGCUAAGUACAAGGGGGAGGUGGAAUACUGAGUGUAUUUGAGAUAGGACCAGUGUGAGAGACAGUUAUCAGUUAGGAAACAAGAUGUGUGUUUGGAAUCUACAUACAAAAUGGUGCUGUACAAAGUUGCUUGGGAAUCCAAACAGAGCUAUGAUGCAUUAAUAUCAUGCAGAAUUUCUUAGCACAGAAGUUUCAUCAAUUUCAGGUAUAUUAGUUGCUUUCUCAUUGGUGUGAACGAAUACUCAACAACAAUUUACGGGAGGUGGGGAUGGAUUUAUUCUGGCUUGAAAUCUGAGAGGAUAUAAUCUGUCAUGGCAGGAAAGGCAUGACCCAGGCAGCUCAGCAGUGAGGGGAGAGCAAGCCCGCUUGCUCAACCCUAAAUGGGAUGUCUGACCAAAUGGGUGCUUCACCUUGCAUUCUCAGUCGUUUCAAGCUGACAGAGCCGGGAGAGGCAUCCUCUACAGAGGGCAUAUUCAGAGGUUGUUACAGAGGUUGUUGGCUCCAUGAACUGAUCUAAAUUUUAAUAUUAUUGACAGGUCAAGACAUUGCUGAGAAUGUUGCAGGGAACAUGGACCUUCUCCUUCAUUCUGUCUUCCAUUUCCCCAGGGUAGCCACAGACCUCAGGCAUCAGGAUCCACAUUUCUUCUUCACAAAAUGAGCCAUCUGCUAAAUUGCUGUUUGAGAUUUGAAACUAGUCUCAAUUGUUAGUUUAUUAAAUGCAAUAAGUUACAAUAAUGAAGUGUUAGAAUUAUAACCCACAUGGGUAGGA